ensembl:lncRNA
UGUGUGUGCGCGCGCGCGCGCGCGUGUGUGUUAGUGUCCAGUGAGGGGAUGGUGUUAAAUGUGUACACGUGGUUAGCUGCAGUGGACAUAUCUGCUUGGUGUGUGUGUUAGUUUCUCUCUCUGUCUGUCAGCUUGCGGUGUGUCCUGAAAGGUGUUCGUUGCUGUUGCAGAGAGCAGCUAUCUGGGAUGCCAGAUGGUCAGAACAGGCUACGUUGUUCUAGUAUCUAUAGACACCAAAUAUACCUAACCCCAGCCAGACACAAAUCAUAUAACCACCCAAGUGACCGGCCACAACUAAGCUGGCAAAGACCACGCAGACUGACUGAUUUCCAAACUGACUUUAGUGAAAAAGUUAAUUGUCUUACCUGUUAACAUGUUUUCCACACAAAGGUCUAUGUGCACCUGAACCCCAUGUCCCUACAGUUUCAUCUCCACGCCAUUCAUGCAGAAGCCCACAUUGUAUUGUAUCUGGGAGCAUUGAGAAGUCAGGGUUUUUGUUGAACUAUUUUGCAUUGGGGGACAGUGGGGAAGACUGUUUUCCCCAAUUUGUGGGCCUGGUGGAGGGGGACUUCCUGAUUAAAUGGAUCUUGACUGGAGAAUUCUAGGCAUUCAGUGGCAUGGCAUUGUUAUUAUUCCCUAUGUAACGUUAAUGGCAAGCUCAUUUGGCGGCCAUAGUGGAAAUGUCAUGUUAUUGCAGAAAACACAUAGGCCAAAAUACAUACAUGGACAUGCCUGUUUUUAUUGGGGCCACAGGGACAGAUCAGCCAAGCUAAGCUAUGGGCUGUCCUUGUUGGCCAAUCAGCGAACCCCAUACUGACAGUAUCUCCUCAUUAGCCAAAGAUAUCAGGUGAUAGAAAUUGUGAUUUUCCAGGUUUCUUUGCUCAUACUCAGUGAAUGUUGGACUUUAAGUUCACUAUUGGCUCCUUUACAUAUUCCUAAACUCUAAUUGGAUAUGACUGAACCCUGUGAUUAUAGUUCCUACGGGGUGUGUGUGUGUGUGUGUGUGUGUGUGUGUGUGUGUGUGUGUGUGUGUGUGUGUGUGUGUGUGUGUGUGUGUGUGUGUGUGUGUGUGUGUGUGUGUGUGUGUGUGUGUGUGUGUUGAAUGACCCAGACAUCCUCCCAUCGAGUUGGCUGAGGGUCCUGUCAUGUAUGGACAGCGGCUAUUCUCUCUAAUCAAUACGAGUGCCAUGAUCCAUCGCCCAGCGCCUGCCUGACCAUCCCCCCGACAGCCAACGCUUACAGUUGCGCGAUGACAAUGAUGUUCCAGCCAUCAGUCUGAAAGUGAAGUCAAAUGUCAGUUUCCCUGGUUGGAAUCAUUACUCUGUAGCCCAGGGCUGCGUGCUAAGCCUCUCCCAGAGGUGACCACCCACCACACGGAAACACAUGACUCUCUCCCUCUGUUAAGCCUGUAUGUAACCUCCGCCGUGGACCCCCAAUGUUUUAACCUCACUAGAGUUGUAAAGAUUGACCCAUACUCUUAUGCGAUUUUAUUCUGAUUGCGAUUUGGCUGGGCCCAGAGUAUUGUCAGGGUUGUCUGUGUGUAAAGACCAAUGCCACUCAUAAGGUGGGGGUACUGUGGCCCGGAGUCAUGGGGUUUUGGCAGUAUUUUAAAGUGUGUGAGUGAGGUUUCGCCUGAGAUGGACUAGCAGAGAUUGAUAGAGUAAAGCCAGUGCAAUAUCUUUUUAUUUUCUAUUGUGGUAAACGCAUGUUGUUGUUGUUAAUCCUACCGUAUCAAAAUAAUAAAGUUUUAUUAAUGUA